AUGCAAGUCGAGCGAGGGUCUUUACGACCCUAGCGGCGGACGGGUGAGUAACACGUAGGCAACCUGCCUCUCAGACCGGGAUAACAUAUGGGAAACUUAUGCUAAUACCGGAUAGGUUUUUGGAUCGCAUGAUCCGAAAAGAAAAGAUGGCUUCGGCUAUCACUGGGAGAUGGGCCUGCGGCGCAUUANCUAGUUGGUGGGGUAACGGCCUACCAAGGCGACNAUGCGUAGCCNACCUGANAGGGUGACCGGCCACACUGGGACUGANACACGCCCCAAACUCCUACGGGAGGCAGCAGUAGGGAAUUUUCCACAAUGGACGAAAGUCUGAUGGAGCAACGCCGCGUGAACGAUGAAGGUCUUCGGAUUGUAAAGUUCUGUUGUCANGGACNAACAAGUACCGNUCGAACAGGGCGGUACCUUGACGGUACCUGACGAGAAAGCCACGGCUAACUACGUGCCANCAGCCGCGGUAAUACNUAGGUGGCAAGCGUUGUCCGGAUUUAUUGGGCGUAAAGCGCGCGCAGGCGGCUAUGUAAGUCUGGUGUUAAAGCCCGGGGCUCAACCCCGGUUCGCAUCGGAAACUGUGUAGCUUGAGUGC
rnacentral:rRNA from 1 species